UCGUUUUUUUUUCUCCUUAUCAAACAAUCUUAGCAACCAGGCGAGUCUCUAGGAAACCUAAUCACUCUCCCACCUUCUUCCUCAUAUCGCAAUUCACCUUCUCUUACUCUUAGUUUAAAUGUAGGACACUCUAAUUUUGCUCUCCGUGUCCAAAAGUUUCUCACGAAAAUAGAUGUUUGGUUUUUUUCUUUGUUGUACUCUCCAGUUUUUAGCAAGUUCAACCGUUUAGUUGUUUAUGGAUUGAAAUUAAAGCUCGAUUCAUCAUUAUAUAAACCUAAGAACGAAUGCCGGUUUUCGUCACUAACGCUCCAUCGCAUAGCUCUAUGACCCCCAAGUAUAGUCACUGUUAUUCAGUCUGUUUCUUUUUUGAUCGGUUAGUCAAUGUUAUUUAGUUGAUUGUAAAUAUUGUUUUUAUUUUUCUCCAAUUUGCAGUUUGGAAUAUUUUUUAGGUACAAUAAUUUAUCUCAUGUUUUAGUUUCAGUUGCUUUCUUGAUUGGUAAAUUAGAAAAUCACUGACAUUCAAUUUGUAAAGUGAAGAUUCAACCUGUUUGGAUAAUAAUUAAUUUGAUGGAUUGGUUUUGGUUCCAUAACAUGUUUGGAAGAUUCUUUAGUAAGGUAAUCUUUUAAUCUUUCUAAUUAUCAACAAGUAAAAUCUAUUUCUACUGUCUUUUUUAAUUUUUAAUCAGAUUGCAUUUUAACUGAUUGUCUUUUCAGGUAAAGUCCAUUAUGUUAACCGGUUUCUUCAAAUUUAAUACCUUUAGGGGGUUUUAUAAAAUGGGUGUAUUAGAUUUUGAUUUAAUGCAGCACGUAGAAAUUUUCAGUUUUUGUUAAUUUUAAUUUACUUAGCAUGAAAAAAAUUGUUAGUAUUGUGGUUGGAUACUUGGUCUCAUUCGGUAUACCUCGACUGUCCGAAUGCUUUUACACGUAAGUAUCUCCUGAUUAUUGUUUGUUUCAUAGUAAGAAAAAAAGAAAGGGGUAAUUUUGAUCUUCCAUUUUAUGCUUUUAGGUCAGCGAGUGGUACUCUGAAAGAGAAACCGGAGGAAGCCUUAAUCUAUUAAGUUUCGCCUCUUACUGAGGUUUGAUCUUUUUCCAAACGAAGAUCUACAUUUUGAGCACAGAUUAAUGGACGGUUCAUAUAUAGCUACGAACACUAUGGCGAAACUCCUAAUUUGAUCCUUGCAAAAUGAUUACAUGCUCUGUUGGUGUGGAAUAUGUCUACAACGCUUUCCAUGAAUCAUCUACCAUCAUGCCAUCUCAUGAUAGAGCAAUGCAUAACUUUCGAAACCUAUCCGAUUUGGUCUUUCUAGCUUUCUAAUAUGUAGAGUGGCGUCACCCUUUGUGGCUUCAUUUUAUUGCUUUCCAGUAUUUUCGUGUUAUUUUUUCUCUCCCUAAACUCAUCAUUUUGACAAAAUAUGUAAUCAUUAAUGUUCUUUUUCUUUUUGUAGUUGAGCUUCCUUAGCUCCACCGUUUACUACUAUAAAAAAUUCUUUCUUUUGAA